rnacentral:rRNA from 1 species
AAACCAGCACCUCAAGUGGUCAGGAGGAUUAUUGGGCCUAAAGCAUCCGUAGCCUGUUCUAUAAGUUUCCGGUUAAAUCCACUAGCUCAACUAGUGGGCUGCCGAAAAUACUGUAGAACUAGGGAGUGGGAGAGGUAGACGGUAUUCGGUAGGAAGGGGUAAAAUCCUUUGAUCUAUUGAGGACCACCUGUGGCGAAGGCGGUCUACCAGAACACGUUCGACGGUGAGGGAUGAAAGCUAGGGGAGCAAACGGGAUUAGAAACCCCGGUAGUCC